UACGGGGGGAGCAAGCGUUGUCCGGAUUUACUGGGCGUAAAGAGCGCGCAGGCGGCUGGUCAAGUCCGAUGUGAAAGCUCCCGGCUUAACUGGGAAAUUGCAUCGGAAACUGAUCGGCUGGAAGGUGGGAGAGGGUAGCGGAAUUCCCGGUGUAGUGGUGAAAUGCGUAGAUAUCGGGAGGGACACCAGUGGCGAAAGCGGCUACCUGGCCCAUUCUUGACGCUGAGGCGCGAAAGCUAGGGGAGCAAACGGG
rnacentral:rRNA from 1 species